GAUGAACGCUAGCGACAGGCCUAACACAUGCAAGUCGAGGGGCAGCACAUGAGUAGCAAUACGAUGGUGGCGACCGGCGCACGGGUGAGUAACACGUAUGCAACCUGCCUGUAAGCGGGGGAUAACCCGGAGAAAUUCGGACUAAUACCGCAUAAUACUGUGAAUUUGCAUGAAUUUACAGUUAAAUAUUUAUAGCUUACAGAUGGGCAUGCGUAUGAUUAGAUAGUUGGUAGGGUAACGGCCUACCAAGUCAACGAUCAUUAGGGGUUCUGAGAGGAAGGUCCCCCACACUGGUACUGAGACACGGACCAGACUCCUACGGGAGGCAGCAGUGAGGAAUAUUGGUCAAUGGGCGAGAGCCUGAACCAGCCAAGUCGCGUGAAGGAAGACGGUUCUAUGAAUUGUAAACUUCUUUGUAGAGGAAUAAAGUGGGUUACGUGUAGCCUUUUGUAUGUACUUUACGAAUAAGGAUCGGCUAACUCCGUGCCAGCAGCCGAC
rnacentral:rRNA from 1 species